rnacentral:rRNA from 1 species
AGUGAACGCUGGCGGCGUGCUUAACACAUGCAAGUCGAACGAGAUCUUCGGAUCUAGUGGCAGACGGGUGAGGAACACGUGGGAACAUCCCUUUCAGUUCGGAAUAACGUUGGGAAACUAACGCUAAUACCGGAUACGUCCUUCGGGAGAAAGAUUUAUCGCUGAAAGAUUGGCCCGCGUCUGAUUAGCUAGUUGGUGAGGUAAUGGCUCACCAAGGCUACGAUCAGUAGCUGAUCUGAGAGGAUGAUCAGCCACAUUGGGACUGAGACACGGCCCAAACUCCUACGGGAGGCAGCAGUGGGGAAUAUUGGACAAUGGGUGCAAGCCUGAUCCAGCCAUGCAGCGUAAGUGAUGAAGGCCUUCGGGUUGUAAAGCUCUUUUAUCCGGGAAGAUAAUGACUGUACCGGAAGAAUAAGCCCCGGCAAACUUCGUGCCAGCCGCCGCCGUAA